AGUAGAACGCUGAAGACUGGUGCUUGCACUAGUCAGAUGAGUUGCGAACGGGUGAGUAACGCGUAGGUAACCUACCUCAUAGCGGGGGAUAACUAUUGGAAACGAUAGCUAAUACCGCAUGACAAUUAAGUACUCAUGUACUAAAUUUAAAAGGAGCAAUUGCUUCACUAUGAGAUGGACCUGCGUUGUAUUAGCUAGUUGGUGAGGUAACGGCUCACCAAGGCCACGAUACAUAGCCGACCUGAGAGGGUGAUCGGCCACACUGGGACUGAGACACGGCCCAGACUCCUACGGGAGGCAGCAGUAGGGAAUCUUCGGCAAUGGGGGCAACCCUGACCGAGCAACGCCGCGUGAGUGAAGAAGGUUUUCGGAUCGUAAAGCUCUGUUGUUAGAGAAGAACGGUAAUGGGAGUGGAAAAUCCAUUACGUGACGGUAACUAACCAGAAAGGGACGGCUAACUACGUGCCAGCAGCCGCGGUAAUACGUAGGUCUCGAGCGUUGUCCGGAUUUAUUGGGCGUAAAGCGAGCGCAGGCGGUUAUUUAAGUCUGAAGUUAAAGGCCGUGGCUCAACCAUGGUUCGCUUUGGAAACUGGAUAACUUGAGUGCAGAAGGGGAGAGUGGAAUUCCAUGUGUAGCGGUGAAAUGCGUAGAUAUAUGGAGGAACACCGG
rnacentral:rRNA from 1 species